rnacentral:lncRNA from 1 species
GGAUAUGGUAUGAUAAUAUUGUUAAACUAUUUUUACAAAUACAUAAAAGUUUCCAAAGUACAAAUGCCACAAUAAAUACGUCAUUAAAAGCUCUUUAUCUUAUGCUCAAUUGAAGAUGCUCCCUGGUAGAAUUUGAGAUCAAGUAGAGGGAGCUACACGAGAAAUUGCAAGAGAGCGAGCUGCAAAUCAAAAAGUGAUAUAAGCUCUAUUAUAAAUUCAUACUCAGCUGUCAUAAGAUGACAUUCAUUUUCUGAAAUGGCUCAUAGAUUUCAGUGGUAGUUCGAUUUGCUAUUUGCUUAGCUCAGCCCAUACUACAAAGUGACGUCCUCAUAGAGGAGUUUACAAAUUCAUUGCCAGAUGAAAAACAAAAUUACUGCUUCAAUUUUCAUUUGUACUACAAUAAAGCACAUGUACUUUAAGGCAUAUGCGCAAAAGUGUAAUAAUAUUUUGAAAAAUAACAGAAAUAUACUGAAAAUUUUCAAAAUUACUAAAAGUUCAAGAAGCUUUUCAAAUAAAAGUACCUCCAUGACCGAAGUGAGAGCUUCUGAAUGACUUGUUUUCACUUUAGCUUUUCUAGUUCUUUCUUCCAGCUCUUUCCUCUCUGGCUUAUAGUCAAAACUCAAAAUUAUGAAUCUGUAUCAUUUUGCUACAAGAUGCAAGAUAUUUCUUUAGCUUAAGCCUUCUCUUAUCA